GAUGAACGCUGGCGGCGUGCCUAAUACAUGCAAGUCGAGCGGAAGGACGCGAAUCUUGCUUCGCUGAUGUUAGCGGAAGGCGGGUGAGUAACACGUGGAUAACCUCCCUGUAUGUCUGGGAUAACCUCGGGAAACCGGCGCUUAUCCCGGAUGAUAUUUUGCAGCGCAUGGGGCAAAAGUGAGAGACGGUCUUUCUGGCACUACUAGAUGCAUCCGGGCUGCAUUAGCUAGUUGGUACGGUCACGGCCUACCAGGGCAAGGAUGCAUAGCCGAACUAAGAGGCUGAUAGGCCGCCUGGGAGCUGGGCCAGCGUCCUGACUCCUGCGGGAGGCAGCAGUAGGCAACCUUCCGCAGCGGGCGGAAGCCUUACGGAGCGACGCCGCGUGAGUUACGACGGUCUUCGGUUCGUGAAGCUCUGUUAUUAGUGGAGAACAUAUUUGUAAGUAACUGUGCCCAUCGUGACGGUACCUGAUCAGGAAGCCCCGGCUAACUACGUG
rnacentral:rRNA from 1 species